GUAAUGUGAGGUGGGAAAGGUUCCCCACGCGCUUACGCUCUUAAUGAGUGUAAGUUACCAGAGAUCAGGAUUGCCGCCCUGCUCAUUAC
rnacentral:ncRNA from 1 species